CAGAGGUCUCAAGCGUUGUUCGGAUUCAUUGGGCGUAAAGGGUGCGUAGGUGGCGCGGUAAGUCGGGUGUGAAAUCUCGGAGCUUAACUCCGAAAUUGCAUUCGAUACUGCCGUGCUUGAGGACUGGAGAGGAGACUGGAAUUCAUGGUGUAGCAGUGAAAUGCGUAGAGAUCAUGAGGAAGACCAGUGGCGAAGGCGGGUCUCUGGACAGUUCCUGACACUGAGGCACGAAGGCCAGGGGAGCAAACGGGAUUAGAUACCCCGGUAGUCCUGGCAGUAAACGGUGCACGUUUGGUGUGGGAGGAUUCGACCCCUUCCGCGCCGGAGCUAACGCGUUAAACGUGCCGCCUGGGGAGUACGGUCGCAAGAUUA
rnacentral:rRNA from 1 species